AACGAACGCUGGCGGCAGGCUUAACACAUGCAAGUCGAGCGCCUCGCAAGAGGAGCGGCAGACGGGUGAGUAACACGUGGGAACAUACCCUUUACUACGGAACAACUCCGGGAAACUGGAGCUAAUACCGCAUGUGCCCUUUGGGGGCAAGAUUUAACGGUAAAGGAUUGGCCCGCGUUGGAUUAGCUAGUUGGUGGGGUAAAGGCCUACCACGGCGACGAUGCAUAGCUGGUCUGAGAGGAUGAUCAGCCACAUUGGGACUGAGACACGGCCCAAACUCCUACGGGAGGCAGCAGUGGGGAAUAUUGGACAAUGGGCGCAAGCCUGAUCCAGCCAUGCCGCGUGAGUGAUGAAGGCCUUAGGGUUGUAAAGCUCUUUCACCGAUGAAGAUAAUGACGGUAGUCGGAGAAGAAGCCACGGCUAACUUCGUGCCAGCCGCCGCGGUAA
rnacentral:rRNA from 1 species